GACAUAGGUGGCAAGCGUUAUUCGGAAUUACUAGGCGUAAAGCGCGUGUAGGCGGGCGCUUAAGUCCGACGUUAAAUCUCCAGGCUUAACUUGGAGCUGUCGUCGGAUACUGGGCGUCUCGAGAGAGGUAGGGGGCAGUGGAAUUCCCGGUGUAGCGGUGAAAUGCGUAGAUAUCUGGAGGAACACCGGUGGCGAAGGCGGCAUCCUGGACCACGACUGACGCUGAGUGAGCGAAAGCCAGGGGAGCAAACGGG
rnacentral:rRNA from 1 species